GACGAACGCUGGCGGCGUGCUUAACACAUGCAAGUCGAACGGAGUGGCGAACGGGUGAGUAACACGUGGGUGAUCUGCCUUGCACUUCGGGAUAAGAUUGGGAAACUGGUUCUAAUACCGGCUAGUGCAAGAUGUGCUCGCGGCCUAUAAGCUUGUUGGUGGGGUAAUGGGCUACCAAGGCGUCGACGGGUAGCCGGCCUGGGGGGGUGUACGGCCACAAUGGGACUGAGAGACGGCCCAGGCGCCGACGGGAGGCAGCAGGCGGGAAUAUUGCACAAUGGGCGGAAGCCUGAUGCAGCGAGGCCGGGUGGGGGAUGAAGGCCUUCGGGGUGUAAACUCCUUUCGACAGGGACGCGGUACCUGUAUAAGAAGCACCGGCUAACUACGUGCCAGCAGCCGCGGUAAUAC
rnacentral:rRNA from 1 species